rnacentral:lncRNA from 1 species
AGCUGUGGGGAAGAGCAUGAAGACUGAGGAGGGGUGUGAAGAAAUGCCCCCCAACUGCUGAGAUCUGGCUCCUCACUGGGCAUGAACAGGUACACACCGAGAGGACACAGGACAUGUGUCUGCCUAGACAGGCACAGGAGGGCUACAAGUGGCAUGCUUUGUAAUAAACCUCAAACUGGGAGCUGCCCAGAUGCCGAUCCAGAGGAAAAUGGAUAAACAGUGGCAUAUUCACAAAAGGGACUACGUACAGCAGUAAACACCAACCAUUAAAUAAACUCCAACACAAACUCCAA